rnacentral:rRNA from 1 species
GGGUCCGCACAAGCGGUGGAGCAUGUGGUUUAAUUCGAUAAUACGCGAGGAACCUUACCUAGGCUAGAAUGCGAGUGACAUCCAGAGAGAUCUGGAGUUCUUCGGACACAAAGCAAGGUGCUGCAUGGUUGUCGUCAGCUCGUGCCGUGAGUGUUGGGUUAAGUCCCGCAACGAGCGCAACCCCUGUUUUUAGUUGCCAGCAAGUAAUGUUGGGGACUCUAGAAAGACUGCCUGCGUAAGCAGAGAGGAAGGAGGGGGACGACGUCAAAUCAGCAUGGCCCUUAUGCCUAGGGCUACACACGUGCUACAAUGGCGUAUACAAAGGGUAGCGAACCAGUGAUGGU